rnacentral:rRNA from 1 species
GAUGAACGCUGACAGAAUGCUUAACACAUGCAAGUCGACUGGAAUUCACCUUCGGGUGAUAGUACGGUGGCGGACGGGUGAGUAACGCGUAAAGAACUUGCCCUCUAGACUGGGACAACUGUUGGAAACGACAGCUAAUACCGGAUAUUAUGAGAACCUCGCAUGGGGAACUUAUGAAAGGCUGUAUGCGCUAGAGGAGAGCUUUGCGUGCCAUUAGGUAGUUGGUAGGGUAAUGGCCUACCAAGCCGACGAUGGCUAGCCGGCCUGAGAGGGUGAUCGGCCACAAGGGGACUGAGACACGGCCCUUACUCCUACGGGAGGCAGCAGUGGGGAAUAUUGGACAAUGGACUAAAAGUCUGAUCCAGCAAUUCUGUGUGCACGAUGAAGGUUUUCGGAUCGUAAAGUGCUUUCAGUAGGGAAGAAAAAAAUGACGGUACCUACAGAAGAAGCGACGGCUAAAUACGUGCCAGCAGCCGCGGUAAUACGUAUGUCGCAAGCGUUAUCCGGAAUUAUUGGGCGUA